AAUGAACGUUGGCGGCAUGGAUUAGGCAUGCAAGUCGUGCGGAAAGGCUCCUUCGGGAGUACUCGAGCGGCGAAAGGGAGAGUAACGCGUGGUUUAUCUGCCUCUAGGCCCGGGAUAGCUAUGGGAAACUGUAGGUAAUACCGGAUAAUAUCUCUGGAUCAAAGGUGUGAUUCCGCCUAGAGAUGAGACCGCGUCCUAUUAGCUAGUUGGUGGGGUAAUGGCCUACCAAGGUAACGAUGGGUAGCGGGUGUGAGAGCAUGGCCCGUCUCACUGGGACUGAGACACUGCCCAGACACCUACGGGUGGCUGCAGUCGAGAAUCUUCGGCAAUGGGCGAAAGCCUGACCGAGCAAUGCCGCGUGCGGGAUGAAGGCCCUCGGGUUGUAAACCGCUGUCAGUUGGGAGGAAAUGUAUAAGGGCAAUCUCUUAUACUUGACCCAUCUUCAGAGGAAGGACAGGCUAAGUUCGUGCCAGCCGCCGCCGUAACAC
rnacentral:rRNA from 1 species